UUAAAAAAAAACAUCCCAGUGUCCCUUUUAUGAUGGUUAUCCUAUCUCAAACCAUAAAUUUAUGUCUUUAGUCUUGCUCCAUGCAACUUCCUAAAGAUUGUGUGAUCAAAUCAAACAAAAAAAAUACUAUGAUGACUCGACAUACAGCAACAAAAUGAUUAA
rnacentral:snoRNA from 1 species